rnacentral:ncRNA from 1 species
UCCCGUGCAGAGGUGGGAAUGCUUAUACAAGACGAGAAGAUCCUAUGGAUCUUAAGUCGCAUAACUCAACACAUACUAACAUCCAACCUAUUGGAACAAACUGUAUAAGCUACUGAGUUGUAGUCUUUGGUUGGGGUGACCUCAGAGCAUAAAACAACCUCCAAAUGAAUAUAACCUAGAUUAACCAUUCUAAGUGUAAUAAUACCAGUAAUUGACCCAUCUCUUGAUCAAUGGAACAAGUUACCCCAGGGAUAACAGUGCAAUCCUAUUUGAGAGCCCAUAUCGAAAAUUAGGGUUUACUACCUCUAUGUUGGAUCAGGACACCCAAAUGGUGCAACCGCUAUUAAAGGUUCGUUUGUUCAACGAUUAAAGUCCUAUGUGAUCUGAGUUCAGACCGGAGAAAGCCAGGUCAGUUUCUAUCUGUAAAUUU